rnacentral:lncRNA from 1 species
GCAGAAUGUAAUCAUUUUGGAGUUAAAUUGAUUCCAUGAAGUGAAACUACAAAUUGUCCAUUGACACAGCGUUAAAUUGAUUCCAUGAAGUGAAACUACAAAUUCUUUUCACCCCUAGUUGAGUAAAAUGUUGGAAUGUGGAAAGGAAAAGAACAAUCUUACUGUCACCUGCCAUUAUUCGUAUCCAAAAAUUAUCGCGUUGACACCAAGGGAAGCAAUCAUGACAGGAAGAAACACUGUACAUACAUGCAUCAUUUACUCAAACUUGGAUGUGAGUGUUAAAUAAAGGUAUGUCAGACACGGUAUGUUCAAUUUUUCCCAGGUUUGGUCUUAUGUAAUUUGGAGAAUCCUUGGAGUCAUAUUGUUAUACCUGUAUCCAUAUAUGCGUCAAACACAAAUACAUAACAAAAGAUGAAGAGUCAGACAACAUAAGUUUUAUAUAUAAGGUUGAUAGAGAACUUCUAAAUAAAUUGUUUUAAUGAAAGGCCAAAAACUCCCAAAGAUGAAUAGCAUAAUUAUCCAUUCAAUAAAAAUUAAGAAACUGGGGAAGUUUUUAAGCUAACCUUUCAAAAUAGCAUUAGCCAUGAUUUGGAGAUAUCAAUAUCACCAUCUCCAUCCAUCUUUUUCCUACAUUAAAGACAAGGCGAAAAGACUUUUAGUAAAUAAGGCAAGUAAGGGAUAGUAAAGAAGAGAACAAGAUACAAAGAGUAAAGAAGAUUAAAUAUCUAAAUAAAGAAGAUCAUAUUUUCAAUACCUAAAUAUAAAAUGCUAUCACAAGAUACAAUAAUUCAAAUAUCUUAAACUUUCAUGUUCCAAAAGUCAUUUUUUGAGUCCUCAGAGGAACUUGGCUUAGAAAUAUAGACAAGAGGAAAACUUGGGCAUCUAAAGCAAAACUGAUUUAAAAGGGAACAACAGUCUUUCACUCUCAUCACCUACCAUCUCCUUCGAGACUCGAUUACGUUAGGAAACAGAAGAUAUAUGAAUGAAAAUUUAUACAAAACAAAUAUGAGGAAAACCAGGGCAUCUAAAACAAAACCAUUUUAAAAGGGACCAACAGUCUAUCAUUCUCAUCACCUACCAUCUCCCCCGAGACUCAAUUAUUAUAUGAAACAGAAGUUAUAUGAAUGAAAACUGAUAAUAAAAAAAUAAGCAUUUGUUAACCAAGUUAGCAAUUGUUUCAUGCCCUUUUUUUUUCUUUCUAUUUUCUAAUAUCCAAACAUAUGGUCAAGCACAAGGUACCAAAAGACUAAACAUUUGGAACAUUUCAUUGAUCAAAGUUUUGGAGUCCUCGUCUUAUAAUUGUGGCCUAAACACCUAACAACCUAUCAAGUUGAGAGUGAAUGCUGAAAAUCACGUCCAUCUUCUAUUUAGUUGUAAAUAUCUACUUACAACAUUGAAAUACCAUUUGAUUGCCUCAAGGACUAACAUACCAUAAUAUUGAUAAUCAUCCAACUAUGCUUUUAAGUUUGGUAACAAUUUUUAAGUAUCCUUUCCUUCUAGAGUAAUCAAAGACUACAAAGCAUCAAACCAACAAGAAAUGCAGAGUGUUCAAAGAAACCCACCUUGAAUCCGGCCUCGUUGUUUCACGCGAUCAACAACUCCUAUAUCGAAACCACAAAGUACAGUUUACAUGCAAAACCCAGAAAACUAGAGAGAAAAAGUGGCUGAGAAAAACAUAGAUAACCAACAUCACAUAAUUUUCAGACCACAGAGUAUAUUCCAACUACUGCUUCUAAAAUAAGUAGUUCCAUAGAUCAAAAACACUAAUCAACUCACACAAUUACUGUCUAGAAUCUAAAUAACUAUAUUCAAACAAAUAAUGUAGCUUGCAUUGAAAAUGAAGAAAAUGAAACAAUAAAAAAAACUACUAAAAACUAAAUUAAUAAAAUCAACAUCAAUUAAAAUUCAUAGACUUAUUGUAGAUGCAAUUCUAUUAGCUUAACUAAGCAUAAAAUCAAAACCCAUUAAACUCUAAUGCAGGAAAAAUGUUCAUUAAUUCAUUAAAAAUAAAAUUCAACAUAAAAAUGUUACUUAAAACCCUAAAAGCUUAAUUGUAACAAGACGUUAAUCUAUAAAUUAGUAUUAAAACAACAACAAUAACAUUCUCUCAUAGAACAAAAACCCAAAUUCAAGAACUAAAAACCCUAGACCACCUAGACUCGAAAAUCAAAACCCACUUAAAACAUACAAAUAUAAAACACAGGAAGAAAAAACCGACAACCAAUCAAAAUUACAUGAAAAAAAGGCGUUUUUUAGUGAUGUAGACGGCGUGGAGCUAGCGUUUGCCUUUUGUUACUCUGACUUUUUCCUGUCCUUGUUCUUGUCAUUUUUGUUGAUGAUGAUGGAUUCAGUGGCAGUGAAGUUGGAGUUAGAAGUAAGAUAACUAAUGGGGUUUUUUGAGAGGGUUCCUUUUGCUGGUUUUACUUCUUCAUUUUGUUAAUGAUGAUUCAGUUUCUUUCAUCUUUCUCUUCUUUCCAGAGAAAUCUGAGCGUGGGUUUUGUUUUGUAGAGUGCAUUGAUGCAGCUGGUUUUGAGUUGGCGGGAAAAUUCAGUUAAUAUAGCCAUGAAAAUGGAGGGAUUCUGGAAACGAUGGAAUUAUUGAGGAACCGUUGCAAGCUCUGGACGCUGCUCCAAUCCAACAAGUUAUUGGAUUCCUAAGACUCAACCGCCGACAUUUUCA